GAUGAACGCUGGCGGCGUGCCUAGCACAUGCAAGUCGAACGGAGAUUACGGACGGAAGUUUUCGGAUGGAAGACUGUAAUUCUUAGUGGCGGACGGGUGAGUAACGCGUGGGCAACCUGCCCUAUACAGGGGGAUAGCAGCUGGAAACGGCUGGUAAGACCGCAUAAGUCGGUUAAAUCGCAUGAUUUGAUCGGGAAAUGAGCAAUCAGGUAUAGGAUGGGCCCGCGUCCGAUUAGCCAGUUGGCAGGGUAAAAGCCUACCAAAGCGACGAUCGGUAGCCGGACUGAGAGGUCGGACGGCCACAUUGGGACUGAGACACGGCCCAAACUCCUACGGGAGGCAGCAGUGGGGGAUAUUGCACAAUGGAGGAAACUCUGAUGCAGCGACGCCGCGUGAGUGAAGAAGUAUUUCGGUAUGUAAAGCUCUAUCAGCAGGGAAGAUGAUGACGGUACCUGACUAAGAAGCCCCGGCUAACUACGUG
rnacentral:rRNA from 1 species